CGAAAUGCGAUAAGUAAUGUGAAUUGCAGAAUUUAGUGAAUCAUCGAAUCUUUGAACGCACAUUGCGCCCGCCAGUAUUCUGGCGGGCAUGCCUGUCCGAGCGUCAUUUCAACCAUCAAGCCCCCGGGCUUGUGUUGGGGACCUGCGGCUGCCCGCAGGCCCUGAAAACCAGUGGCGGGCUCGCUGUCACACCGAGCGUAGUAGCAAUCACCUCGCUCAGGGCGUGCUGCGGGUUCCGGCCGUUAAACAGCCUUACAAAACCCAAGGUUGACCUCGGAUCAGGUAGGAAGACCCGCUGAACUUAAGC
rnacentral:misc_RNA from 1 species